GACGAACGCUGGCGGCGUGCCUAAUACAUGCAAGUAGAACGCUGAAGAGAGGAGCUUCCUCUUCUUGGAUGAGUUGCGAACGGGUGAGUAACGCGUAGGUAACCUGCCUUGUAGCGGGGGAUAACUAUUGGAAACGAUAGCUAAUACCGCAUAACAAUGGAUGACACAUGUCAUUUAUUUGAAAGGGGCAAUUGCUCCACUACAAGAUGGACCUGCGUUGUAUUAGCUAGUAGGUGAGGUAAUGGCUCACCUAGGCGACGAUACAUAGCCGACCUGAGAGGGUGAUCGGCCACACUGGGACUGAGACACGGCCCAGACUCCUACGGGAGGCAGCAGUAGGGAAUCUUCGGCAAUGGGGGCAACCCUGACCGAGCAACGCCGCGUGAGUGAAGAAGGUUUUCGGAUCGUGAAGCUCUGUUGUAAGUCAAGAACGGGUGUGAGAGUGGAAAGUUCACACUGUGACGGUAGCUUACCAGAAAGGGACGGCUAACUACGUG
rnacentral:rRNA from 1 species